AGCUGGUAACUGUGCUUUCCUCCAAGCCAAGUGUUGCAUCUACAGCCGGGGGAACCGACAGCACCACUCACCAAUCGGCUGAGCAGCGCUGUGACAUAACGUCUACAGCUCUGGCUGGCUUCGGGAAGCAGACUGUCAGCGGAGGCUGGCCAGAGACAUGGCGUCCUGAUACUCUAGCUACAAGUUCCUAGGAGUAUCACUGAUGUAGCCGCCCGCUGCUGGAUUACUUGCACCGUGCACUUUGUUAUGUGCCUGUUCCACAUGAAUAAAGCAUAAGAAAAUUAUACCUGAAGAGUGGAGGAUAUGGAAGUCUUCACAAUUUCCAGGAACUAGUCAUUCCAGUUUUCUAAACACAGCUAAGCCUGGCACUUGAGUUCUUUAUGCUGUGUAUCCAAGCUCUGGAUAUAAGAAGAGACAUGUGCUUCUUUGCUUUGCUGCUGGGGGCAAAGGGGCAAAAACACUUUGUGCAGCGAUGACAGGGUUAAUCUUGCAUGGGAAUGCACAGUUAAGAAUCUGUGGUUGUAAGCAGAGCACUUCCUUGAGCAAAGAGUAUUGUGACAGUCAUGUGAAUUCCCUAAACGGAUGCUGGUAAUUGUGUUAUAUGCUAGUUUGACAUUGGCAGAAUCAAUAGAACAGUGCGGCUUCCAGUGGAAAGUAACAGUUGUGUGAUACAAAUCUGACUUCUUCUCUUCUCAGAGCUCACAUCAUGCGUCUAUUCCCUGAUAAUGGGUACUGCCUGGAGAUAAGUGUAACAGGAGCACUUAUCAUCACUGUUCUUUUUUUAGAACUGAGCAAAAGGCCCUAUAUUCUUGUA